AACAACCGACCAAUCAAACGGCGACGUGUAGUAGUAAUCUCUUGUAAGAAGAUACCAACGGUUCGUUUGAUUUUUAAUAAAGGAAAAAAAAAAAAAGUGAGUCAUCAAUAUGAGAAACACUUCUUUAACACUGAUACGUUACCAAGUUUCUUAAUCAAAUCCACCACAUGCCACAACUUUUAUUUUUAUCAUUAUUCGUUUAGACGUGUUUCUGACUUCAUAUGAAAUGUCUCUUUUACCCCCUUGUUAACAUUUGC
rnacentral:lncRNA from 1 species